UGAGGAAUAUUGGUCAAUGGACGAGAGUCUGAACCAGCCAAGUAGCGUGAAGGAUGACUGCCCUAUGGGUUGUAAACUUCUUUUAUAAGGGAAUAAAGUGAGGGACGUGUCCCUUUUUGUAUGUACCUUAUGAAUAAGGAUCGGCUAACUCCGUGCCAGCAGCCGCGGUAAUACGGAGGAUCCGAGCGUUAUCCGGAUUUCAUGGGUUUAAAGGGAGCGUAGGUUGACGUAUAAGUCAGCUGGGAAAGUUUACGGCUCAACCGUGAAAUUGCAGUUGAUACUGUAUGUCUUGAGUGUACAAGAGGUGGGCGGAAUUCGUGGUGUAGCGGUGAAAUGCUUAGAUAUCACGAAGAACUCCAAUUGCGAAGGCAGCUCACUGGGGUACAACUGACACUGAGGCUCGAAAGUGUGGGUAUCAAACA
rnacentral:rRNA from 1 species